UAGCAGCCCUGGAGACUGAAGGCCUCUGUUUAUCCCAAGAGCAGGUUCGGCACGGACAGGAGCUGCUCUGCCAGCGGUGCCACGCCAGAGUGCCACAGGCAUGGACCUCCCUCGUCCGUGUGGGACGCAAAGGAGUCGGUCCCCACGGCCCGCUCGGGACARCCCGU
rnacentral:sRNA from 1 species